rnacentral:lncRNA from 1 species
AAAAUUUUAAAAGCUAUAUUCCCAGUGUGAAAUACUAUCCAGUCAAACAAAUGAAUGAUAGAGGGGACAUGUCAAAGGUAAACUGAAAUGGCCAAGAAACAAUGAUACCCAGCAACAAGAAGUAUAACUAAAGCCCAGAUCUAAGUUUCUUAGUAUGUUCUCCACUGAAAGUGUUACCCAGUAGCUAGUGAUGAGAGUGAAAUGCAUGGCCAGGUUCUUUAAAUUACUGUAGGAUCUACUUUCAAAGUGAAUGAGAAAGCAAAAAGUGGUAGUUAAUUUGUAGAAAAUAAACGGAAGCAAACACACUAAUGGGAAAAUAUGUCAAAAGAAAAGGAUCAAUGAGACUAACUCUUGGCAGGCUCCACUGAUACUGAUGUGAACCUAGGAAUUAUGGAGACAGGUGUCUCCAUUUGUCUGGGAUGGAAGGUUCCUUUAGUAGUGCAGGCACACUAAGGUAAAUUCUGACCAGAUCUUGACCUCAGUGCCCAUGUUAACAUGCGAUUGACUUGUAGAUGAAGCGAUGGCCACCAGGACAGUUUCAGAGUGGACCAACUAAGGUCAAAAACUCCACUGCUUGAUGUGAAGGAGGAUUUGAACUCCUUUUUGGCAAAGAGUACAGAAUAUGGUCCUCAGUUCUCCUGGUUAACAUCAAAAAAUAAAUUUGGAGACAGUGUUGCCUCUUUUGUCAUUCUCUACUCUGAGAGGGCUCACUCUCUCUUGAGAGUGCUCUCUGCUCAAGCCUCACUUUUCU